AGUGAACGCUGGCGGCGUGCCUAAUACAUGCAAGUCGAACGAAGUGGCGCGCGGGUGAGUAAUAUAUAGUUCAUCUGCCCUACAACGAGGAACACAAGGUGGAAAAGAAUGCGAAUACAUCCUAGUGUAGGAUGAGACUAUAUCGUAUCAGGUAGUUGGUAAGGUAAUGGCUUACCAAGGCUAUGACGGGUAACUGGAAUGAGAGGAUGAUCAGUCACAGUGGAACGGAGGCACGGGACACACUCCGACGGCAGGAAUCAGUAAGGAAUAUUGCGCAAUGGGGGACACCCGGAGGUAGCAACGCCGCGUGGAGGAUGACACUUGGCGGAGCGUAAACUCCUCUUAUGAGGAAAGCGGUACCUGAUGAAGAAGCACCGGCUAACUCCGUGCCAGCAGCCGCGGUAAUAC
rnacentral:rRNA from 1 species